rnacentral:lncRNA from 1 species
CAAGAUUCAACUUGGCCGGGGCAGACACGCUGUGUGGGAAAAUUAUCUUUUUUAUUUCAAAGCAAGGAAAUGUUGAACACAAACACGAAAUUCCAAAGAGUGACCCUCUGGGGUGAGUGGGGUGGGGGCAGAGCAGGGGCAGAAUGGAGACAGGACCCCUACGCUGAUGCAGGUUUGGGGGAUGUUUUAAUUCUUGGGCUGGAUAGUAGAUGCACGGGUGUUUGUUAAAUUUCCAAUAGAUGAGUGAAUGAGUAAAUGAAGGAGUAAGUGAGAGGCCUGCGGAAAGCAAACCAGCAAAUAUCAAACCGGCGCCCCUCUGAGCCCGGCUCCGUCCCUCUCGGGUGAUUCUGGUGUCCCUGCUGGAAGUGAGGCCUGCAGCCAGUACCCCAUGGGGCUGUCCCCCAGCUCUGCAUUCUAGAAAGGCCUCAGCAGGGUGGAGCACAGCGGAAGUCACCGCUGGGUUGGGGGGUGAGGAAUGGAGACGUGGAAGGGGCCGGGUCCCCAGGACUUGUUGGCUGAGGGACAUGAGGAAGGCAGGCACCUUGCUGGGGGCACGGGUGGGCAGAGACUGUUCUCCAGGGCAGGAGCCGUGAGAAAGUGGCCUUGGGAGGAGGAGGCCGUGGUGACGCAGAGGGCCUGCCCUGUGCCCCCGCUGAUGGGAGCGGCCAUCAGGACACAGACCGGCAGACAAGAUAACAAGCAGUGUCCGCGAGUCAGCCCGACUCUCCCCCAGCCCCAGCAAGGCCUGGCUCGGCGCCCUGGACCACCCAGCUGCUGAAUAUCACACCAGGACCACCAAGCCUGCCUCUGCCCCAGGCCUGGAAGCUUCUCCCCACUCUCCCUGUGGCCAUCUCCUUCACACCCUUCAGUUCCAGCAUGGUCACCUCCUCCGUGAAGCCCUCCGUGAGUCCCCCAGCCAUCUCUGUGACUUCUCCUGGUUAUUUUCCAGAAUGACCAUGGACUUGUUUUUUCAUUUGUUCACUGUCCGUCUCUUCCUCUGGGAGGGAAAAUCCACGAAGUCAGGGACCUGGAGUUAUUUGCAGCUGUGUCAGUGCUGCUGGGGCGAGGCAUACACCUGUGACGGGACCUCAGGACGGGGACACGGGUCUGCAUGAGGAUUGUCUAACAGUCCCUACAAGACGCUGGGGCCACCAUGUACACUGGAGUCCUCUGGCAGCCAGUGUUCCCCGUUGUGCGGGGCUGGCCGUGACCACGCUGGAAACCCCCCGAUCCCCUUGUUGCUCCUGCCCUCCUGCAAGCACCUCCGCCGCCUCGACAAGCACAGCCUGGCCCCAGGGCCUCUCCCUCCCCUGGCCCCAGUCACCCCUACCUCCUCACCACCCCCUGUCAUCUCCCAUUGCUCCCCCUCCUUGCCAAGCUGCUCCUGACUCCCUGUCCCCUCCUCGAGCCAUCGGGAAGGCCUGCGUCCUGGCAGGCUCCAGUCUCUGCGGCUGCCCCUCCGGCAGGCCGCCGAGAAUCAGCGCGGCAUUGGGCCAGGCACGGUUUCCACGAGCUUCCUCCUUCUGAUCCUCCCCUCCGCCCCCCCCACCAAGCUCCCCAAAAUCUCUCACUCACACCCCAAAUCACCUGGGCCCCCCACCUCAAACCAGAGGCCAUCGGGGCAGAACCCAGCAAUUGUCACCGCCCUCUCACGAAGCGUCCCGUGCCCCCCGGAGCACAUGUCCACAGCGAGGCCCUUCACGGCUCUCAGAUCAGCUCCCCGCCUGCAGGUCCCAGCCGGCCCUGCUGUCGCUGCAGGUUGAGCUUCUCAUGAGUGAAGGCCCCGGUCACUCUGACGCCGCCAAAUAGUGGAGACAACACCAAGCUCUAAAGAUUUUCAAAGGGAGAGAGACAAAAAAAAAUGAAGGCCAGGUGUGGUGGCUCACACCUUUAAUCCCAGCACUUUGGGAGGCUGCGUGGGGAGCCUCGAGCUCAGGAGUUCGGGACCAGCCUGGGCAACAAAGUGUCUCUACAAAACAAUAUGAAAAUUAACCGGGUGUGGUGGUGUAUGUCUGUGGUCCCAGCUAGGGAGGUAGAGCUAGGCUGAGGCAAGAGGACUGCUUGAGCCCGGGAGGCAGAGGUUGCAGUCAGCCCAGAUCACGCCUCUGCACUCCAUCCUGGGCAGCAGAGCAAGACUCCAUCUCAAAAAAUAAAAGCUUUGAGAAUUUAAAGAAAGAAAAAAAGAAGAAGAAGGCCAGGCUGAUGACUCACGCCUGUAAUCUCAGGAUUUGGGAAGACCAAGGUGGGCGGAUCACUUGAGGCCAGGAGUUUGAGACCAGCCUGGGCAACAUAGCAAAACCCUAUCUCUACAAAUUAAAAAAAAAAAAUAAAGUAAAAACUAAAAGCAAACAAAAUAAAUAGCCAAGCUCUCCGACCCAAGGCCUUUUGUGCCGACCGACGCCCAUCUUCUCUGACCUGGCCCAUGUCUCUUUGCGCCUGCUGGAGAGCUUCUUCCACUCUCAGCUGGCCCUGAACCCUGGGCUCCCCCAGUACUGCCUCCCCACCCCGCC